AUUGAACGCUGGCGGCAGGCCUAACACAUGCAAGUCGAGCGGCAGCGGAAAGUAGCUUGCUACUUUGCCGGCGAGCGGCGGACGGGUGAGUAAUGUCUGGGAAACUGCCUGAUGGAGGGGGAUAACUACUGGAAACGGUAGCUAAUACCGCAUAACGUCGCAAGACCAAAGAGGGGGACCUUCGGGCCUCUUGCCAUCAGAUGUGCCCAGAUGGGAUUAGCUAGUAGGUGGGGUAACGGCUCACCUAGGGACCGAUCCCUAGUUGGUCUGAGGGGAUGACCAGCCACACUGGAAAUGAGACACGGUCCAGACUCCGACGGGAGUCAGCAGUGGGGAGUAUUGGACAAUGGGCGCGAGCCUGAUGCAGCCAUGCCGCGUGUAUGAAGAAGGCCUUCGGGUUGUACAGUACUUUCAGCGGGGAGGAAGGCGUUGUGGUUAAUACCCACAGCGAUUGACGUUACCCGCAGAAGAAGCACCUGCUAACUCCGUGCCAGCCGCCGCCGUAA
rnacentral:rRNA from 1 species